AUUGAACGCUGGCGGCAUGCCUUACACAUGCAAGUCGAACGGUAACGGGCCUUCGGGUGCCGACGAGUGGCGAACGGGGGAGUAAUACAUCGGAACGUGCCCGAUCGUGGGGGAUAACGAGGCGAAAGCUUUGCUAAUACCGCAUACGAUCUACGGAUGAAAGCAGGGGACCGCAAGGCCUCGCGCGGACGGAGCGGCCGAUGGCAGAUGAGGUAGUUGGUGGGAUAAAAGCUUACCAAGCCGACGAUCUGUAGCUGGUCUGAGAGGAUGAUCAGCCACACUGGGACUGAGACACGGCCCAGACUCCUACGGGAGGCAGCAGUGGGGAAUUUUGGACAAUGGGCGCAAGCCUGAUCCAGCCAUGCCGCGUGCAGGAUGAAGGCCUUCGGGUUGUAAACUGCUUUUGUACGGAACGAAAAGCCUUCUUUUAAUACAGGAGGGUCAUGACGGUACCGUAAGAAUAAGCACCGGCUAACUACGUG
rnacentral:rRNA from 1 species